rnacentral:lncRNA from 1 species
AGGGGCGGCGCCGAGCGGGCCUGUUCCGCGGCGCCAUGGAGACGGGCCCGCCGCCCGGCCCGGCCGACCCCAGCCGUGGCUCCAGAGGCGGGAGCGGCCUGCUGCCGGGACCGGGGCGAUGUGGAGGUCUAAACAACAACUGGCUCUAGCAGCUGAGCAAGAAUGGAUUCUGAAACAGAGUAAUAUGCAAACAGAACUUAACUGGCAGCAGCUCUGUGAGAAUGGUGAAUGUAAUUGGUAUCAGAAAUCAGAGGAUCCAGCAUGCAGCCUAUGUUCAUCAAGAGAGGAGAUAUUUCAGUAUGAUGAUGAAAAUUCUUUGUGUAAAUAUAACCCUGCUUUGGAAAUAAAAAAGCUGCAGGAACAGAAUGCCAGCCUUCAGGCUGCUAUUGCACAAAUGAGGAAAGAAAUGGAGAGUCUUAAUGAGCAGAUGUUGUCUUCUGUUCCUCAAACAGAAGACAGACAGCUUGCAGAGCAAGGUUCAUUGAGCACAAACAAAAUUUCAACUGGAACCACACUAAGCAACAUCAAAAUCCGUUCAACUAUGCUGGAUUGUAUAGUAAACCAAGACAGAGAAGAGGGGCCAGAACCCAAAGUUCUUGAAGAAAACAUGGUAAAUUUUGGACAACAGCUACCUGAUGUAGGCACUGGUAUUUGUUGUCAAUAUAAUGUCAAACACACUCUACAAGGAAUGCAAAAUAAACUCAAGGAAGCAGCAAGAAAAAUUUCAAUUCUGAGCCAAGAGAAGCGUCAGCUGAUUGAAAUGGGAAACAGGCUCAGGGCAGAACUUGGAAUGGUGUUAAAGGAAGGAGUCUGGCUUCCUGUUAGCUCUAAACACUGCACAGUUUGUAUUGCCUCUGGUAGUCUUCUUCCAAGAGAACUUGUCAAAAGAACACAGUGUCAGCUAUCAGUUCUAAAGCAUCUACAGCACAGACUCACAACACAGGAGCUGCAGUGCACAAGGCAACAGCAUCCUUCAAGGCUGUCUUCUCUUACUGCCUGCCCUAGCUUGAAGGAAGAAGAAGCUCCAAGCAGCUGUGGAGAAGAAACAGAAUUACCAUCCAGUGAGGUUUGGAUAGAUUACUCUAUUGAAAAUCAUGGGCCAGAUACAUUCUCAGCAACAAAGGCAAAUACAUCCACAAAGAUUGUUCAAACUCAGCUGCUCAGUCAGAGUUCUAAUCACAUCCAGCAGGUUCAGCCUUCUUCAUCUAGAACGCAUAAUUUCUGUCAAAUUUUAGAUACGGGAUCAAGCCUUUUUCUACUCAGUCCUCAAAAGAACACCAGCCAGGGUAAGCCUGUUUUGUAA